GCUGACAAAGUGCCUGCUACGGUGAGAACAGGCAGAUCGUAAAGACACUGUAAAAUCAUCCCUGAUGGCUCGAACCGCGCCAUCCCUGGCGCGGACGCUUU
rnacentral:ncRNA from 1 species